rnacentral:rRNA from 1 species
UGGCUCAGGAUGAACGCUGGCGGCGUGCUUAACACAUGCAAGUCGAACGAUGAAGCCCAGCUUGCUGGGUGGAUUAGUGGCGAACGGGUGAGUAACACGUGAGUAACCUGCCCUUAACUCUGGGAUAAGCCUGGGAAACUAGGUCUAAUACCGGAUAGGAGCGCCUACCGCAUGGUGGGUGUUGGAAAGAUUUAUCGGUUUUGGAUGGACUCGCGGCCUAUCAGCUUGUUGGUGAGGUAAUGGCUCACCAAGGCGACGACGGGUAGCCGGCCUGAGAGGGUGACCGGCCACACUGGGACUGAGACACGGCCCAGACUCCUACGGGAGGCAGCAGUGGGGAAUAUUGCACAAUGGGCGAAAGCCUGAUGCAGCGACGCCGCGUGAGGGAUGACGGCCUUCGGGUUGUAAACCUCUUUCAGUAGGGAAGAAGCGAAAGUGACGGUACCUGCAGAAGAAGCACCGGCUAACUACGUGCCAGCAGCCGCGGUAAUACGUAGGGUGCGAGCGUUAUCCGGAAUUAUUGGGCGUAAAGAGCUCGUAGGCGGUUUGUCGCGUCUGUCGUGAAAGUCCGGGGCUUAACCCCGGAUCUGCGGUGGGUACGGGCAGACUAGAGUGCAGUAGGGGAGACUGGAAUUCCUGGUGUAGCGGUGGAAUGCGCAGAUAUCAGGAGGAACACCGAUGGCGAAGGCAGGUCUCUGGGCUGUAACUGACGCUGAGGAGCGAAAGCAUGGGGAGCGAACAGGAUUAGAUACCCUGGUAGUCCAUGCCGUAAACGUUGGGCACUAGGUGUGGGGACCAUUCCACGGUUUCCGCGCCGCAGCUAACGCAUUAAGUGCCCCGCCUGGGGAGUACGGCCGCAAGGCUAAAACUCAAAGGAAUUGACGGGGGCCCGCACAAGCGGCGGAGCAUGCGGAUUAAUUCGAUGCAACGCGAAGAACCUUACCAAGGCUUGACAUGUUCUCGAUCGCCGUAGAGAUACGGUUUCCCCUUUGGGGCGGGUUCACAGGUGGUGCAUGGUUGUCGUCAGCUCGUGUCGUGAGAUGUUGGGUUAAGUCCCGCAACGAGCGCAACCCUCGUUCCAUGUUGCCAGCACGUAAUGGUGGGGACUCAUGGGAGACUGCCGGGGUCAACUCGGAGGAAGGUGAGGACGACGUCAAAUCAUCAUGCCCCUUAUGUCUUGGGCUUCACGCAUGCUACAAUGGCCGGUACAAUGGGUUGCGAUACUGUGAGGUGGAGCUAAUCCCAAAAAGCCGGUCUCAGUUCGGAUUGGGGUCUG